rnacentral:rRNA from 1 species
GCCUACCAAGGCGACGAUGGAUAGCCGGCCUGAGAGGGUGAUCGGCCACACUGGGACUGAGACACGGCCCAGACUCCUACGGGAGGCAGCAGCUAAGAAUCUUCCGCAAUGGGCGAAAGCCUGACGGAGCGACGCCGCGUGAACGAAGAAGGCCGAAAGGUUGUAAAGUUCUUUUCUUGGGGAAGAAUAAUGAGGGGAGUGGAAAGCCCUUCAGAUGACAUUAACCGAGGAAUAAGCCCCGGCCAAUUACGUGCCAGCAGCCGCGGUAAUACGUAAGGGGCAAGCGUUGUUCGGAAUUAUUGGGCGUAAAGGGCGUGUAGGCGGUUUUAUAAGCCCGAUGUGAAAGACCACAGCUCAACUGUGGAACCGCGUCGGGGACUGUAAGACUAGAGUUCAGGAAGGGAAGCUGGAAUUCCUGGUGUAGGGGUGAAAUCUGUAGAUAUCAGGAAGAACACCGAUGGCGAAGGCAAGCCUCUAGACAUGGACUGACGCUGAGGCGCGAAAGCGUGGGGAGCGAACAGGAUUAGGUACCCUGGUAGUCCACGCUGUAAACGAUGUGCACUUGGUGUAGGGACGAACGUUUCUGAGCCGUAGCUAACGCGUUAAGUGCACCGCCUGGGGAGUAUGCUCGCAAGGGUGAAACUCAAAGGAAUUGACGGGGGCCCGCACAAGCGGUGGAGCAUGUGGUUUAAUUCGACGAUACGCGAGAAACCUUACCAGGGCUUGACAUCUACCGGAAUGUACAAGAGAUUGUGCAGUCUUCUUUGAAGACUGGUAGACAGGUGCUGCAUGGCUGUCGUCAGCUCGUGACGUGAGAUGUUGGGUUAAGUCCCGCAACGAGCGCAACCCUUGCUGUCUGUUACCAGCAUACAUUUAUGUGAUGGGGACUCAGGCAGAACUGCCGGUGACAAACCGGAGGAAGGUGGGGACGACGUCAAGUCAUCAUGGCCCUUAUGUCCUGGGCUACACACGUGCUACAAUGGUCGUUACAGAGCGUUGCGAAACGGCGACGUUAAGCAAAUCGCAAAAAGACGGCCUAAGUUCGGAUUGGAGUCUGAAACUCGACUCCAUGAAGCUGGAAUCGCUAGUAAUCGCGCAUCAGCAUGGCGCGGUGAAUAAGUUCCCGGGCCUUGUACACACCGCCCGUCACACCACCCGAGUUGGGGGUACCCGAAGUCACUAGUCUAACCGUAAGGAGGACGGUGCCGAAGG